AUUCACUAAGGAUAUAUCUUGAAGGCCCAGUUAAUUAUUCAGGGUACACCCUAAGAUCUCCCAGGGCUGCAAGCCUUUAAAAGAAGCAGGAUCUCCUUUUUCAGGGUUUUUGUGUCAACACAGCUCUAUGUCUUGCUGCACCAGGUGAAGCAGGUUAGCAGAGGUGCUGGGAGUUGAAGGUAAAGACCUUUUUUUUUUUUUUCUGUGUAGUUCUUGUACCUGACAUCUUGUAGUUGCAAGGCAAGACACUUGAGCUUAUGCCUCUAUGAAAGAUUUUUACUCAGCCAUUGUAUUACUUGGGUUUGAUGAAUUUCUAUGUGCUUUUCAGCAGUAUGUAUUUGUGGAGGCACAGUCACUCAGUGAUGCCCAGUGCUGCAGUAGCUUUGGAAAGAUUUGGAGCUUCAGAGGCUGCUGUUUCCCUGAGAUGAUUCAGGUAAAAGAAGUACUACUUUGCCAUACUCAUGUUUCCAGUCCUUAAACCAAGGAGUACCAUGAGAACAUCUGAGUUGUGAACCUGAGUUUACUACUCCAAAGGCAACUUCUGCUGUCUAUGUGGAAAACCAGGGUUGCAAUGUAAAUACUGUUGUGAGAACUGGAGGGUUCUGUGGAGAAUGUCUAAUCUCCUUGGAAAUCUAGGUCCAUCCCUAAGGAUGUAGCCUCUGUUUCCUUCCUCAUCUGGGAAAAAUCACCCCUUUUUUCUAGAGAGAUUUUUUUUAAUAUUUCUUUAAUCCCAGGCUCUUCACACAUGUAGAUGCUGUGACUGAGGUGAGCCACCUGGGCCAGAAGGGAUUUCCUUCAGCAGAUGAGUUUCAGCUGGAUGCCUCUGUGUAACACAGCCCCCGUGCUCAGCAUUGAGCCUGGUGCCAUCUGGUUCUUGUGGUGCCUUCUGAAAGGGGCAGCUCCCUGCCUACUCCUUUGCCAGCAAACUAAUAACAGAAAUGAUCAUUAAUAUUAUGAGCUGUUUGAAAAGCAUCUGAACAGCUUACUAACUACCAGUGGGUGUCCAGAGGGUGCAGGAACAGAUUGCAUUUAAUUUUUUUUUUAAAUUCAUGUACUUAAUUUCGUAAUAGUUGUCUCUGUUUUUUCACUGAAUCUAACUGUUAUUUCUGUAGCUCUUCUUUGGUACCAAUAUCAGUGUUUCUGGCACUACACCUGUGCAUACCCUCCAGUCAAGUAGAAAUGAAUGAAUUUUUAUUUGCCUGCAGGCUGCUAGAAAAGUUCCUCUGACUUCAUGGUGGAUAUUGUUGCCAUCAUCUUUGUCCAUGUGGUGGUGUUGCAUACUCUUACAAAGUACUGUAAUCCAUUAUAGUUGUAUUGCUUUCCAAAUGUUGGGCAUUUUCUUGGCCCAUGCUGUUUGCCACAGCAUGUGUAACCCCACAUGAUACGUGUAUAUUUUUUGUAAGCUCCAACACUGGCCUCUCCACCUUCUUUUCUGCCUGAAGGUUCUUUUUUAUUAUUAUUUUUUCUUUCUCUUUUUU
rnacentral:lncRNA from 1 species